rnacentral:lncRNA from 1 species
AGGAACAGUGGAAUUCUGUGGGCUGGAGAAAUUCAGGCAGCUGGCAGUUGAACUUUAAGUACCACUGUAGCAGACACCAGCCUUCCCUCUCAGUCUCACUGGCCUUGAAGUGAUGAUAAUGACACAUUCGGAGCAGCUGGAGAUUUCUGUGGAGCCAGACUGCAGAGGUGACCAUAAGGAAGAGAGUGCAGAUGAAACAGGAAAAGCAGAUGCCAGAGAGGCUGAGGAUGGGUGAGCAAAGUGCAGUAACGCAGAGCACAUGGCAAAUACAGCGUGUAUGGUGGCAAUAUUCACUAGACUGUUACCAGAGAAGUCUCAGCAGUGUGAGAAACUUCAAAAUCCUGCUGCACUGAGUGGGCUCUUUUUAUUCCAGGCAAUCUGAAAAGGAGUUGCUGAGUAUUAGCCGAAGCAGUAGCAAGAGCUAUUCUAGGCUCCUGGAACCACGAGUCAAGGUAAAUAGAAGCCCUUUUAUUAGAAAAGGGCACCAGGACAGCCUGUGAAGACUUGUGCAACUUGAGCUUUGACUUAUACCCUUGAGAACUGGCCCAGCCUCAAGGUAAGGCUGACAGGACAGGAAAUAACAAGUGAUGCUAUGGAGAAGUGACAGGCUUUCAGUUGCUUUUACACACAGAAAGGCUAAAGCUGAAAGGGAAGUUUGCUGUGACCCAAAACAUACAUGAACAAAGGCGAGAAGUGAAUUGUGACCAGAAAUUCCCUAGUCUUUCCUAUUGACCCUUUGCUGAGGUAGAUAGUCUAAACAGUAAAUGUAUCAGCAGAAUAUCAGCUUGUUGUCUAUAAACACCGAAGAGAAGCCUGGGAUAUUGAUCAGGUAUUAACUUUGGACAAACCAAAAUGAGAAGUAAUUGCACUUGACCUCAGUGUGUUAAAUAUUUAUCUACUUACAAGCAGAGAACAUUUUGAGAAGCCACACCACACAGAGAGCUAUAUAAUGUGAGUGAAAACUGUGCUACCUGUAAAUAAGGACAAGUAGGUGAAUUCCACAAAACAAUGUUGGUUUUGCCUUUGUUUUCAGC